GAGCAGCAGCAACCUGCUUGGACCCCCUUUCACACUGUGGAAACUUUGUUCUUUCGCUCUUCACAAUAAAUCUUGCUGCUGCUCACUCUUUGGGUCUGUGUCAUCUUUAAGAGCUAUAACACUCACCGCGAAGGUCUGCAGCUCCAUUCUGGAAAUCAGUGAGACCACGAACCCACCAGAAGGAACAAACUCCGGACACAUCUUGGCGACUACAAAGGGACUAUCGCCAAGUGGAUUGAUGCCAUCAAGCUACAGAUGGUCUUACAAAUGGAACACCAAAUGAGCUCUACUAACAACUUCUACCGUGGACCACUGGACUGACCCACUGACCCUUUGGCUGGCCUAGAGAGAUCUGCUCUGUAGGACACUACCACUGCCACUGCAGGGCCCCUUCUUUGCCUCUAUCCAACAGGAAGUAGCUAGAGUGGUCAUCACCCAAUUCCCAACAGCAGUUAGGGUGUCCUGUUUAGAGGGGGGAUUGAGCGGUGAAGCCAGCUGGACUUCCUGGGUUGAGUGGGGUCUUGGAGAACUUUUCUGUCAUACAAGAGGGUUGUAAAACACACCAAUCAGCGCUCUGUGGCUAGCUAGAGGUUUGUAAAAUAGACCAAUCAGCACUCUGUAAAAUGGACCAAUCAGCAGGAUGUGGGCAGGGACAAAUGAGGGAAUACAAGCUGGCCACCCCAGCCAGCAGUGGUAAGCCACUCGGGUCCCCUUCCACGCUGUGGAAGCUUUGUUCUUUUGCUCUUCACAAUAAAUCUUGCUGCUGCUCUCUCUUUGGGUCUGUGCCAUCUUUAAGAGCUGUAACACUCACCGCGAAGGUCCACGGUGCAUUCUUGAAGUCAGUGAGACCGCAAACCCACUGGAAGGAACAAACUCCAGACACACUGUCAUAGGUCUUAGUUCCAAAGGAAGGAAUGCUUUCACUAGGGGACACAACAAUGAUUCCAUAUAACUCAUGUUAAAACUGCUGCUCUGCCACUUUGUUCUCCUCAUGUCUCUGAGUCAGCAUGCAAGGAAAAGAAGAGAGUUACUGUUUUGGCUGGGGUAAUUGAUCUUGACUACCAAGAAGAACAUGGAUGGAUACUCCACAAUGGAGGUAAGGAAGAGUAUUUGUAGCAUACAGGAGAUGCCUUAUGGUAUCUCUUAGUGUUACCAUGCCCUGCAAUUAAAGCCAUUGGAGAACUACAGCCCAAAUCAGGCAGAACUUCUAAUGGUCCACCCUUCUGGCUUUAAUUACCUAACGAGUAAAGAAUCAUCACCAGUUGAGGUACUUGCUGAAGGCUAAGGGAAUACCUAAUGAGUAGUGGAAGAAAGUAGUUAUAAAUACCAGCUAUGACCACGUGACCAGUUAUUGAAAUUAGGAUUGUAAUUGUCAUAAUUAUUUCUUCCUUAUUUUGUUAUAAAUAUAUAUUUAUGUGUAUAAAAAUAUGUUUCCUUCCUUCUCUUAUUCCUUUGACAUGUAAUAUAGGAUGUAUUGACUUUAUAUCAUAAUGUUCAUGUUUUGUUUACUUUACAUCGUAGUACUGAAUAAUGAGAUACCAAAGAGAAAAGUAAACACCACCCAAGGACUUUGCAUCCUCUUCUGGGAAAAAGUUAGUGUAUUUUUGGUUGUUUUCAGGACACAAGAUCUUGUUUGACACAAGAUCGCUGGCUGAUAACUGGCAUCAUACCCAGGGAAUGUUGCCAAACUGGGGUCUCAUUAUUGGUCUCUGCUAUAGGCAAAUUGGAGUCUUAACAGGUGUUGUAACCAGGUCAGUCUCAGUAAGUAGAAGUUCGUGUUGCUAAGGCCAUGCAUAACCUGAAUCCCUGCCAUCAUGGCCACUUUGUUCGUGAGUCCAUAGGGCAAUGACAGAGGUGGUUAAGGAAAGAGACUGGCUGAUAUCCACAGAACGGGUUAUCCUAUCUACUUGACUAUCAAAAUUUUCCUCUGCUAAGGUGACCCUUUGGUCAAUAUUCACAUAAGACAAAAAUUUUCUUAACAUUUUUUGCCAUUCAAAGAGGACAUACUUCUUCUCCAGACUUCCCUAUCACUAAUUUUUUUUUUUUUUUUAAAGACAGAGUCUCGCUCUGUCGCCCAGGCUGGAGGGCAGUGGCGCGAUCUCGGCUCAGGGCAAGCUCUGCCUCCCAGGUUCACAACAUGCUCCUGCCUCAGCCUCCCGAGUAGCUGGGACUACAGGCACCAGCCACCAUGCCCGGCUAAUUUUUUUUGUAUUUUUCAGUCGAGACGGGGGUUCACCGUGUUAGCCAGGAUGGUCUCGAUCUCCUUUCCUCAUGAUUCGCCCCCCUCGGCCUCCCAAAGUGCUGGGAUUACAAGCAUGAGCCACCGCGUCCGGCCCCCUAUCACUAAUUUUUGAAUCAUGCUCCUUUCAACUUCCUGACCAUACAACCAAACAUUGGCUAAACCUCAUGAAUUGAUGUAAAAUUGCACUUCUGGUUAUUUCUCCUUCCAAGCAAAAUUAGUAUCAGGGGAAAAUCUUCAAAGUUCUGCCCACUGGGAAAAUUCUAUUUCACCAUUGUCUUUCAGUAAUGUCCCAGAAAAGGGCUGUAAUGCUGCGGCUAUUCACUUUCAGGUGUAUCUGUACAUCAUUUAAAACCAUCUGUAUAAUAGGACCAAGUCUUCUCUUCCUCUUUCAACUGAUCAUAGGAAACUCCUCAUGAGGCCAUAAAUACAAGUACACAUACCCAUGCACACAUAUUUAUCUUCCUUCUUUUGUGAACAACGACUGGUUUCUCUUAUUAAGUACCAUAGCAGAUGUUUGUAAAAAAUUUGUAAUGGGACACAACAACUUUUAUUAUCAAAUGCAAACUUUGUCGUUUUGUGUUUUAGCCUAUACCUAACUCUCUGACCAUUUUCAAUGUGUUUCUUUCUUCUUGAAUUCUGUGAUUUACCUUCUGUGUAAUUUUCUCUGCCCUGGACAAUCUCUUUCAUUAUUGAGUGGGUUAAGUAGGCUUACUCAAUAAAUUUAAAAGUCACUAGCCCUAAACUUCCAAAAUAAAACUCUUACUCUCUCAUUAGUUUGGGCCAUUUUUUGUCCCUCCAUAAUGCUUACUUUAUUUAUUUCUAUAAAUCACAUAGUACUGUAUUAUUUUAACAAUCAUCACAGUUUUUGAGAUUUUUCAUCAGAUUUUAAAUCUCUUAGGACAGAAGCCACAAAAUCAUUGUCUUUUCAUUCCCAGACUUGAGGCAAUACCUAGGUAUUUUGCAAUGUUUAAUAUCUGGCACAUGUUCAAUACAUUAAAAAUUACAUAAAUAAAAACUACAACAAAAACAUAAGAAAUAAAUGAAAGUAAAAUGAAAUAAAAAAUGAAAAGGACAAGAUGGUAAAGAUCAGAAAAAUAUUAUUAGAAAAGUUGGCUUUUUAGGCGUGCAUAUGAGUAAGUUGGAUUGGGGUAUGGAGAGAUGGUGAGAAAGGACCUUGCUUGUUUUCAUCUAGAAAUUUCAAUUAGGUACACAUGGAGAAUUUAUAGAAUUAUAAUAUUUCCAACACAAGCAAGCACUACAUAUUAUUUUUCUUGUAAAGUAAAAAACUCAUCAAUACAGAUAAAUCAGUGAAAUUAAUAUAUUUAGAACUCAGUUCAUAUAGACAAAAUGAGACUGUAAUUAGCUCUCUAAGUAAAUCUGUAGGUCAUUGGUAAAAUUGACACAGAAAAAGGGGGAAAGGUGGAAAGGAGUUAGAAAUGCAUGAAUGGUUAGACAAAUAUGUUCUGUGAGGUGUACUUGGAAUCAAUCACUAUUAAUAUUGUUCAGUUAGGUGGGCAAUUGUUUAACUAGACUGCUUUUCUGAACUUACCACUUGCUUUAGCCAAUUUUUUCUAUGUCUUUAUUGAUUGCCAAUGAAAUUGUCAUUUUGACUAAUGCAUUUAUUUAAGGGUAUCAAGCAAUGAUGAUCUUGUCCCUUUGUCUUGUAGAAAAGUGAUGCCCCUCUGGAUUUCAGAGAGAAGAUAUACAGAAUAAAGGUAUAUUUAAAAAAAAUAUGAUAUGUGCAGAAUAAGCAAGAAGAAGGAAGAGAAAAAAGGAAAUGAAAAUUUAAAAAAACCUGACAUGGCAUAAAAUAUUUAAUUGAUUGUUCCUAUUUAAGAUGUAUCUAUUGUCCUCUGGGUUUGAUAAUUAUGUGAUACUCAUAUCAUUUCCUUAAAUUUUAUUUUCUUAGGAAACUUAUGCAAGGUUCUACUUGGAUGACAAGAAAGGGAGAAAGGAUGGCUAAAAUGCAAAUUAUGUAGUUGGAUCACUCUUGAUUCACUUUCUGGAGGCUUUGUGCCUCCCGUGGUGUUCUUCACCACUAUAACACAGUGAUCACCUCUCAAGGCACUCUUGAUUAUUACUUCCCUGCAUGCAUUCCUCAGUGAUAUUUUCUACUCUUCCUAAUUUGACAAAGGGAAGUAUUCCAAAAAUCCUGACUAGUCACCUAUCUUCACCUUGCCUCCUAUGUCAGCUUUCUCACAUUGUGGGCUUUUUUGUUUGUUUGUUUGUUUGUUUUCUGUUUUUACUUCUGCCCUCUAAAUGUCUGGAGACUGAGAAGUAGCCUUUUCCCUUCCCUUCCCUUCCCUUCCCUUCCCUUCCUUUCUCUCCCCUCCUCCCCUCCCUUCCCUUCCUGUCUUUUCUUUUCUUUUUUCUUUUCUCUUUUCUUUUCUUUUUUCUUUUCUCUAUUCUCUUUUCUUUUCUUACUUUUCCUCUUCUCUUCUCUCCUCUCCUCUCUUCUCUUCUCUUUCUCUUUUCUGUUCUUUUGUGAGACAGGGUGUCACUCUGUCACCCAGACUGAAGGGCAGUGGUGCAAUCUCUGCUCACCACAGCCUCCACCUCCCAGGCUCAAGCGAUUCUCCUGCCUUAGCCUCCCGAGUAGCUAAGACUACAGGCAUGUGCCACUACUGCCCAGCUAUUUUUUUUUUUAGUAAAGAUGGGGUUUUAUCAUGUUCACCAGGCUGGUCUCGAACUCCUGACCUCAAAUGAUCCACCCACCUUGGCCUCCCAAAGUGCUAGGAUUAUAGGCAUGAGCCACCAUCACCAGCCAGUAUUAUUUUCUACCUGUAAGAUGUCUUUUCCAGUUUGGCACAUGUAUUCAUUAAGUGAAAGUUUAGUCUGACAACUGUAUGACAGUGAAAAAAACUUUAGUCUCAUUUUGUCCAUGACAUGGUAGGUCUUUGAGUAGCUUACUCUUAUCAUGCCAUUUGCAGUAGACUGAUUUACCACACUGUUGCAUGUGAUAUGGUUUGGCUGUGUUCCCACCCAAAUCUCAUAUUUAAUUGUAGCUCCCAUAAUCCCCAUGUGUCAUAGAAGAGACCCGAUUGGAGGGAAUUAAAUCAUGGGAGUGGGCUUUUCCCAUGCUGUUCCCCUGACAGUCAAUAAGUCUCACAUGAUCUGAUGGUUUUACAAAGAUCAGUUCCCCUGCACAUGCUCUCUUGCCUGCUGCCAUGUAAGAUGUGCCUUUGCUAGACUUUUGCCUUCUGCCAUGAUUGUGAAGCCUCCUUAGCCAUGUGGAACUGUGAAUUCAUUAAACCUCUUUCUCCUUAUAAA